AUGUUGCAGGAGGUUUUUGUACGGCCACUUAAUGAGUUUGUAUCACUGUGGUGGACUUUCGGUGGAGGAACCAAACUCAUCAUUAACUUGGGUGUGGUGCGCCCCACCCUGACCGUCCUCCCCCCCUCCAGAGAGGAGCUGCCGCAGGGCAGUGCCACACUGGUGUGUCUGGCCAGCGGGGGCUUCCCCUCAGCCUGGAGGCUGGGCUGGAAGGUGGGGGGCAGCAGCAGCUCCUCAGGGCAGUCACACAGCCUGGAGGUCCUGGGGAGUGACGGCCACUACAGCUGGAGCAGCACCCUGAGCCUCCCUGUAGACCAGUGGAAGAAGGCGGGCUCAGUGAGCUGUGAGGCCAGUCUGAAUGGACAGAGCCCUGUCACUCAAACCCUGGACCCUGACCGCUGCUCAGAGUAGAGCUGCAGCAACACUUCCUGUCUGGAAAUGAAGCUGCUGCUUUGAUAGAGAUCUGAUCAAGCUGCACAUCUCCUCUGUUCACAUGUUUCUGCAACUUUCUCAGCUCUCUACUCCUGUUUUAGUGUCCAUGUUGCUUUCUAAAACUCUUCUUCUGCAUAAUCUGCUUUAUGUUUAUUACUUUUCACAUUAAACUGAAUGUUAUUAGUUUCACUCCAAGAGAAACUCCUCAUUCAUUAUAAAUGUGGCAUGAACAUUAAUCCAUCAUUAAAUAAAAAUAUGAAUUAUAAUGA